CCUACGGGUGGCAGCAGUGGGGAAUAUUGCACAAUGGGGGAAACCCUGAUGCAGCGACGCCGCGUGAGUGAAGAAGUACUUCGGUAUGUAAAGCUCUAUCAGCAGGGAAGAAAAUGACGGUACCUGUUUAAGAAGCCCCGGCGAACUACUAGCCAGCAGCCGCGGCAAUACGUAGGGGGCAAGCGUUAUCCGGAUUUACUGGGUGUAAAGGGAGCGUAGGCGGCAGCACAUGUCUGUAGUGAAAUGCCGGGGCUUAACCCCGGAACUGCUUUGGAAACUGUGCAGCUAGAGUGCAGGAGAGGUAAGUGGAAUUCCUAGUGUAGCGGUGAAAUGCGUAGAUAUUAGGAGGAACACCAGUGGCGAAGGCGGCUUACUGGACUGUAACUGACGUUGAGGCUCGAAAGCGUGGGGAGCAAACAGGAUUAGAUACCCUUGUAGUC
rnacentral:rRNA from 1 species